CCUACGGGAGGCAGCAGUGAGGAAUAUUGGUCAAUGGACGAGAGUCUGAACCAGCCAAGUAGCGUGAAGGAUGACUGCCCUAUGGGUUGUAAACUUCUUUUAUAUGGGAAUAAACUGUUCCACGUGUGGGCUUUUGUAUGUACCAUAUGAAUAAGGAUCGGCUAACUCCGUGCCAGCAGCCGCGGUAAUACGGAGGAUCCGAGCGUUAUCCGGAUUUAUUGGGUUUAAAGGGAGCGUAGGUGGAUUGUUAAGUCAGUUGUGAAAGUUUGCGGCUCAACCGUAAAAUUGCAGUUGAAACGGGCAGUCUUGAGUACAGUAGAGGUGGGCGGAAUGCGUGGUGUAGCGGUGAAAUGCUUAGAUAUCACGAAGAACUCCGAUUGCGAAGGCAGCUCACUGGACUGCAACUGACACUGAGGCUCGAAAGUGUGGGUAUCAAACAGGAUUAGAUACCCCAGUAGUC
rnacentral:rRNA from 1 species